GUUUACCUCUUAGCCAGGAAACCCCCCCACAUACACACCCAGGGAGUGGCUGACUCUCAGCCAGGACUCACCCUCCCCCCCCCCACCCCGGCAAGAGACGGACUCAGCCAGUACUGGCUGCUCCCCCACCCUGGGGCGGCGGGCGGGAGGGAUACCAAACUAACCGCCUCUCCCCCCUCACACACACCCCAAGGGGGAGGAGCGGAGAUAUUAUUUCCCAUGAUGCCCAGUGCGUGGACGGCCGGAAGGACCACAGCUGUUGGAGGAGGUGGACACUUCAUGGCCCCGCGGCGGGGCAGAUGAGAGAGAGGCCUUGUCCCCACAGACUCACCCCAUCACACUGGCUGAAGUAUUUUGGCAUGGAAACCGACCAACUACCACAUUAACCCAAUACAGCCUUUGAAUGAAACCCUACAGGGCAGGAUGCCUAGAGCCCUAGGUCGCAGCAGGUGGAACAGACCAGAUUGAGAUGCUUCGGCACCAGAUCUGGGGACCGGCUCCUUAUCAACCAGUUGUCAAGGAGCCUGACCUGGAAGCCCCCAGGACCUGGACUGUGGCAGAGGAGGCGGGAGUGGAGGAUGGAAGGCUUCCUAGACUGCUGAGGGGUAUACCAGCUCAAGGAGCAGAGGGUGGCUUGGGAGUCCUUAAGCCCAUGGAGCCUUGAGUCAGUUAGCUUGGAAAAGAGCCCUGUACCCUCCAAUGGGAGGUCCUGGAUUGUGGCCUCCAUUUCAGGGGACAGCCCAGAAGCCUGCAACCACAAGCUAUGCCUCAUGGUCACUGCUGAUGUGACCUGGCCGUGAAGUCCGUACUAUCCCAGGCCAUCUGGAGGACUCCUCUGGCCACUGCUGUGCCUUCGCUCACUAAUGCAGUGAACUCUUUGGCAUGAUCCCAUGAAAUGAUUAAAGGAAACCCACAGGUUGAAGUUAUAAUGUCCCAGCAGGGUCUGGUGAUUAGACACUCCGAACUGCAAGCUGGCCAUCAAAUAAACCUUUUGGCCAAACAA